UGGCCGCGGCUGGGCGAGAGGCGUUCCCUCAGUCCCCGGCCUCGCCUGCCCGCCGCUGCCCUCCUCCCCAAAGCGGGCAGCGGGCCCGAGAUAGCUCCGGCUGAGCCGGAAGGUGGAGCCGAAACACAGCGUUUAGAGCGGGUCAGCCCGGCGGGGGGGUUGACGGCGAGCCCUGCCCGGCCUCCAGGGGUUGCUGCCCGCGGCCUGCCGGUCGCAGAUCGCAUCGAGAUAAGAGCAGACGCCGCCCUGAGGGAGCGCUGCCCGGGCCAAGGGGUGCGGGAGCAGGAGCGGCCUAAGCGGCCUCCCGCCCGCGGGAGCUCUUCUUUGGCAGCGUCGCAAAACAAAAGGCGUUGAAUGGCGCGUUUCGAAAGAGAGCGGUGCGAUAGUUCGUAGAUGCUGGUGAAGAAUACUGUUCUUAAAGCGUGGGCGGGAACACCGAGAGGUUGGUCUUGGCCGAGAGGCUCCCAGAGGAGCUCUUCCCGAGGCGGUUCCCGCUCCCCUGGCAGCGGGGGUUUGGCCCCUUGGGAAGGUUUUCAGCGCGUAGCUCCUGGGAACUACCUCUGUAUUCACUGCUCCUGCGAAUGAAACUGGAUUUCUUGCCCGUGAAAAGCAAGAAAGGGUGGGGAAGAAACUGAAGUAAUCCCUUCUGAGCCAUGUGUUUCCAAGGAAAAAGUAUCCCUCCAUCUCCAACAUAUGUCUGGUCAGAAAAUCAUGCUGAAGUUCGAAGCUAUAAAUUGAUUUGUUAUCAGAAAAAAAGCCAAAUGGGAACAAACUGAGGUCAGUAGUUUUAAAAGUAUUAAAAGUUGGCAUUUCCUUGAAGUCAGGUGGAAAUAUUUGGACUGGUAUUUCUUAAAGUCCAUUUUACGAAGUUAGCCAGUUAAGAAUAUCUCAGUUACGAAUUGCUCAUGUAAAGACAUCAUAUUAUGUUGUACAAGCUAGAAAAGCUUGUAAGCUUUGCAGACCGAAAAUGUAAGUUCAAUAAGCAUAGGUAAAGCUGCUGGAACUUGAAUAAAUGCUCAAAUCUCAA